GAUGAACGCUGGCGGCGUGCCUAAUACAUGCAAGUCGAGCGAACAGAUAAGGAGCUUGCUCCUUUGACGUUAGCGGCGGACGGGUGAGUAACACGUGGGUAACCUACCUAUAAGACUGGAAUAACUCCGGGAAACCGGGGCUAAUGCCGGAUAACAUGUUGAACCGCAUGGUUCUACAGUGAAAGGCGGCUUUGCUGUCACUUAUAGAUGGACCCGCGCCGUAUUAGCUAGUUGGUGAGGUAACGGCUCACCAAGGCAACGAUACGUAGCCGACCUGAGAGGGUGAUCGGCCACACUGGAACUGAGACACGGUCCAGACUCCUACGGGAGGCAGCAGUAGGGAAUCUUCCGCAAUGGGCGAAAGCCUGACGGAGCAACGCCGCGUGAGUGAUGAAGGUCUUCGGAUCGUAAAACUCUGUUAUUAGGGAAGAACAAAUGCGUAAGUAACUGUGCGCGUCUUGACGGUACCUAAUCAGAAAGCAACGGCUAACUACGUG
rnacentral:rRNA from 1 species